rnacentral:rRNA from 1 species
UACAGAGGUCUCAACCGUUGUUCGGAUUCAUUGGGCGUAAAGGGUGCGUAGGCGGCGGGGUAAGUCAGGUGUGAAAUCUCGGGGCUCAACCCCGAAACUGCACUUGAUACUGCUUUGCUUGAGUACUGGAGAGGAGACUGGAAUUUACGGUGUAGCAGUGAAAUGCGUAGAUAUUCGCAAGAACACCGGUGGCGAAGGCGGUCUGCUGGGGUGAUGCUGACGCUGAGGCACGAAGGCCAGGGGAGCAAACGGG